rnacentral:lncRNA from 1 species
UGCAGAUCCUGUGGUAUUGUGGAAAUUCCCAGAGGACUUUGGAGAUCAGGAAGUUCUGCAGAGUGUGCCCAGGUUCUGUUUUCCCUUCGAUGUGGAAAGGGUGUCUCAGAAUCAAGUUGGACAGCACUUUACCUUCGUCCUGACAGACAUGGAAAGUAAGCAACGAUUUGGGUUCUGCAGGCUCACAUCUGGAGGCAGAGUUUGUUUGUGUAUUCUUAGUUACUUGCCAUGGUUUGAAGUGUAUUAUAAACUUCUAAAUACUCUGGCAGAUUACUUGGCCAAGGAACUGGAAGAUGAUUUGAAUGAAACUCUUAAAUCACUCUAUAGCCACCCAGUACCGAAGGCAAAUACUCCCGUCCACUUGAGUGUGAACCAAGAGCUAUUUAUUGCCAGUGAGCAA